AUUGAACGCUGGCGGAAUGCUUUACACAUGCAAGUCGAACGGUAGAGGGGGCAACCCCCUUGAGAGUGGCGAACGGGUGAGUAAUAUAUCGGAACGUGCCCAGUCGUGGGGAUAACGUAGCGAAAGUUACGCUAAUACCGCAUACGAUCUAAGGAUGAAAGCGGGGGAUCGCAAGACCUCGCGCGAUUGGAGCGGCCGAUAUCAGAUUAGGUAGUUGGUGAGGUAAAGGCUCACCAAGCCAACGAUCUGUAGCUGGUCUGAGAGGACGACCAGCCACACUGGAACUGAGACACGGUCCAGACUCCUACGGGAGGCAGCAGUGGGGAAUUUUGGACAAUGGACGCAAGUCUGAUCCAGCCAUUCCGCGUGCAGGAUGAAGGCCCUCGGGUUGUAAACUGCCUUUGUACGGAACGAAAAGG
rnacentral:rRNA from 1 species